CGCGUGGUUCUAUUUUGUUGGUUAUAGGACCGCCGUAAUGAUUAAUAGGGACAGUCGGGGGCAUCAGUAUUCAGCUGUCAGAGGUGAAAUUCUUGGAUUUGCUGAAGACUAACUACUGCGAAAGCAUUUGCCAAGGAUGUUUUCAUUAAUCAGGAACGAAAGUUAGGGGAUCGAAGACGAUCAGAUACCGUCGUAGUCUUAACCAUAAACUAUGCCGACUAGGGAUCGGGCGAUGUUACUAUUUGACUCGCUCGGCACCUUACGAGAAAUCAAAGUCUUUGGGUUCCAGGGGGAGUAUGGUCGCAAGGCUGAAACUUAAAGAAAUUGACGGAAGGGCACCACCAGGGGUGGAGCCUGCGGCUUAAUUUGACUCAACACGGGGAAACUCAC
rnacentral:rRNA from 1 species